ensembl:lncRNA
AAUUAAAAAGAGAGAACAGAAGCAAAAUGAAGAACAACAUUUAUGCAUUGUUGCAAACUGCCAGCUUGCCUGAGCUGUGAAGUCCCUGGGCUAUUCUGGGAUAAUUCGGCACCUUUCAACUGUCACACAGAAUUUCAUGGGGGAUGAUGCUUGGCAUUGUUUAUAUGACAUUAGCUUCACCUUUUCAUCCUACUGGGGACCAUCAAAUGCAAAAUUGGAUUAAAUUUGGCAGAUCACAUUAUAUAUGGGGAAGUGAGAAAUAUUGCUGUAUCACAAUUGAUUUUCCCAGAGGCACCAGGCAACCUCUGAUAUUUUGAUACCGAGACGAUAAACGAUUUUCCGCUGGUAAUUUCCAUACUCAGUAAGCUGAGAAGUUUUUCUCAGUAUGCAAAUGAGGUUUAUUUAAAGCAUCAUUUUCUAUUGCCUACAAUUAGAUUGAUCUGGAUGGCUGCAGGAGGAGGUCUGUCUUGGUGACACUGAAUGGGCAGCAGCAGAGGUAAGCCCUUCAUGCAACAGAGCCUUUAAUGUAAACCAGGUUUGUUGGUUGGGAUUGCCACAGCUGGGCAAGGCAGCAGCACGGUGAUGACGAAGAGCUUUGUAUCUUGGAUGGAGUCUCCAACAUUUCACAAUACUGCUAUCACAUUUUCCCAAGCCACGCGUCUGUGGAAGGGACCUAUGCCUCCUUCUCACUACCAGUUAGAUGGUGCUUCACUAAAUGGACAGGGUUGGAGGUGGCUGCUUCCCAGACCUUCACUGGGUGUUAGAUGCCGUCAGAUCCAACCCCAGUUCUCCUCAGCCUCUUGCUCAGCAGGUCACAGACUCCACAUCACUCACUGAAAACCUUCAGAGGUUCCUUUGGUGACCUCCAAGGGUUGUGUGGGAGAUGGAGCAGGGAACAGGUUAGUCAGCCUUGAUGCACAGGGCCGGAAAGGCAGUGAACAGCAGAAAUGAAAUAAGACAAAGCAUGUGCAAUGCUGCAUGCCCUGCUCUUCCUGCAGCCCUUCCCAGCCCUCCGACAGAGACUUUCGCUGCCACCACUGUGCUGUGGGUCCACCACAGCAUCACGAGCACGCCUGGUUCCAGUUUGCACACCACAUGAAAGUCAUUCAGAAGAAACUCAUUCCCAUGGAGAGAGCCAGCAUUAGGCUGGUGCAUCUCACAAGUGCUAAUUUGAUGAGUUAUACUCAGUCCUUACGCAUGAAUUUGGCUCUCCAAAUGCAUUUGUAUUCAUCACUGCCGCAAGCCUUGUGAUGUCCUUAGGGAACAUCCUGCUCUUCUUCACUGUAACACAGCAAGUACUAAAGGAAACUGAGGCCUCACAAACUAGUUGCAUGGGAACUUGAACCCUCCUGUAGGAAUUUCCAUUUCCAAAGACACAAAGCAGCUGCCUUCCAAGCAUCAAGCCUCCUCCCCACAUCCUGAGCAAAGAACCCCAUUUUAAAGUUCGCCAUCUGCUUGUUCUAAGAGGCAAACUCAUUGGCAGCCCAUGAGCUGAUGAAGUCCAUCCUGCUCCAGGGAGCUCAGCCAUCCCACCAGCUCAGCCACAGGAAAAGAAAGUGGAACCUGGGUCAGCUGCAAGUUUCCGUUCUUCAGACUGUUACAGAUAAGAUAAACUUUUCUUUUUCUUUUUUGGAAGUGUUGUCUAGAGUUUAAUAAAUGCUCAUGUGUAUCGUUAAUCUGAAAUAUUAACAUCAAAUCCACUAAUAAAGUGACUCGAGCAUUUCAAGCUCAGAGGUUU